GAUGAACGCUGGCGGCGUGCCUAAUACAUGCAAGUCGAGCGAACAGAUGAGGAGCUUGCUCCUCUGACGUUAGCGGCGGACGGGUGAGUAACACGUGGAUAACCUACCUAUAAGACUGGGAUAACUUCGGGAAACCGGAGCUAAUACCGGAUAAUAUAUUGAACCGCAUGGUUCAAUAGUGAAAGACGGUUUUGCUGUCACUUAUAGAUGGAUCCGCGCCGCAUUAGCUAGUUGGUAAGGUAACGGCUUACCAAGGCAACGAUGCGUAGCCGACCUGAGAGGAUGAUCGGCCACACUGGAACUGAGACACGGUCCAGACUCCUACGGGAGGCAGCAGUAGGGAAUAUUCGGCAAUGGGCGAAAGCUUGACGGAGCAACGCCGCGUGAGUGAAGAAGGUCUUCGGAUCGUAAAACUCUGUUAUUAGGGAAGAACAAAUGUGUAAGUAACUAUGCACGUCUUGACGGUACCUAAUCAGAAAGCCACGGCUAACUACGUG
rnacentral:rRNA from 1 species